GUUAGAUAUAACAAGAGCACUAAGCGCCAAUAAACAAGGUGGGGGAGAUCAGGGAAGGACGAGUGAUGAAAACCUGGGGAACCGCUUAUGUCCGUCUUUUGGCAGCUUCGCUGAAAUUUAUCCGCCGGAAACCAGUGCAUGAAAUCAGGGCCAGGAGGGAGGAAGCGCCGUUGUCCCGAGGGAGCAUGUCCCCGCUGAUCCCCGAUCUUAUAUUAGUAGAGGUUAACCUGAUGGAUUCUGACCUCUGGGUUCUCAUUCUUUGACGAUCUGAGAUUAGGAGAAUUUGAGCUUGAUACAACACUUGGAGUAAAAACUGUGGAGGUAUCAGAUUUUUCCUUAAUUAUAUUUCCGUUUUGUCUAGCAGUGGUCUUUUUUCUGUAUUCUUUCCCAUUGAUAAGUGCUGUAUAGUUUGUAAAGAGUGCUGCAGCUGACCGUUGUUCUGUGCUGGAAGUAUCCACAGGCAACAUAUUGCAAAGUAGCAUAUUCGUCUGCCCAUGGAAGUGCCCCAGUGUGAAACUAAAACUUUUGCAAAUAAAAGAUAUAUUUAAUUUGUAUGGAGUGCCUAA
rnacentral:lncRNA from 1 species